rnacentral:rRNA from 1 species
AUUGAACGCUGGCGGCAUGCCUUACACAUGCAAGUCGAACGGCAGCACGGGAGCAAUCCGGGUGGCGAGUGGCGAACGGGUGAGUAAUACAUCGGAACGUGCCCAAUCGUGGGGGAUAACGCAGCGAAAGCUGUGCUAAUACCGCGUACGAUCUACGGAUGAAAUCGCGGGAUCGCAAGACCUUGCGCGAAUGGAGCGGCCGAUGGCGGAUUAGGUAGUUGGUGAGGUGAAGGCUCACCAAGCCGUCGAUCUGUAGCUGGUCUGAGAGGACGACCAGCCACACUGGGACUGAGACACGGCCCAGACUCCUACGGGAGGCAGCAGUGGGGAAUUUUGGACAAUGGGCGAAAGCCUGAUCCAGCCAUGCCGCGUGCAGGAUGAAGGCCUUCGGGUUGUAAACUGCUUUUGUACGGAACGAAACGGCCUUUUCUAAUAAAGAGGGCUAAUGACGGUACCGUAAGAAUAAGCACCGGCUAACUACGUGCCAGCAGCCGCGGUAAUACGUAGGGUGCAAGCGUUAAUCGGAAUUACUGGGCGUAAAGCGUGCGCAGGCGGUUAUGUAAGACAGUUGUGAAAUCCCCGGGCUCAACCUGCGAACUGCAUCUGUGACUGCAUAGCUAGAGUACUGUAGAGGGGGAUGGAAUUCCGCGUGUAGCAGUGAAAUGCGUAUGCUGCGGAGGAACACCGAUGCCGAAUGCAAUCCGCUGGGUGCUGUACUGACGCUGAUGCUGAUAGCGUGGGAGCGGAUAUG